CGGAAAUCCACUUACACUGUCGUGAUGGAAGACUUCAAUGCAAAGGUCGGAAAAGGGAGGCAAGGUGAAAGGUAUGUUGGAAAGUUUGGAACUGGAGAAAGAAAUGAAAGAGGGGAACGUUUGGUCACUAUGGUAGAGGCGAGAAAAAUCUACAUCGGGAACAGCCUGUUCAAGAAGAACAGCGAGAAAAGAUGGACCUGGAUAGCCCCUAACGCUGCACAUCGCAAUGAGAUCGACUACAUCCUGGUCGACAAGCGGCGCAUUCUGCAAGACGUCUCUGUCGUAACGCCAUUCAACACCGGCAGCGAUCACCGCCUGCUCAGGGCCAAGAUCGUCAUCGACAGGACAAAGGAGAAGAAGACACUGCAUCUGACGUCGAGGGAAGAACGUGUGAAGGUCUACGAUGGAAAGCGACUGCAGGAAGCGAUGGAGAGGAAAUCCUGGUGCCGAAUUGACGGAAUUGACGAUGAUUAUGACUCACUGAUCGAGAAACUGAAGGAAUGCUUGAGGGAGGCAAAGGAGGCGGGCCCAAGGGAGCAGAAGGGAAGAAUCUCGGAAGAAACCAAAAAACUUCUCGAGAAGAGAAAGAACAUGAAGAGGACUGCGGAAGAUCACCUUGAAUAUUCCAUUCUCAGCAGGGUGAUACGACUGCAGCUGAAGAGAGACUUCGAAAAAUACCGGAUGGAAAAGCUCCUGAAGGCCGCCGAGGAAAGGAAGAGCCUCAAGAAAUGUGAAAGGGGGAUGGCACUCUAUAAAUCGGAAGUGACGAAGCUGAAGAACUCGGAUGGUGCUACAGCCGAUGAAAGAGGCGAGGUGGUAAAGAUCUGUAAAGACUUUUACACUAAGCUUUUUAAAUCUGCUGUGAAGAUUGAACCACCACCGUCACUUCAAAGGAAGGAGAAUGUGCCCCCCAUUCUCGUAAGUGAGGUUGAAAGGGCCGUCAAUUUGAUGAAGAGGGAAAAAGCACCGGGGAAAGAUGGCAUAACAUCUGAAAUGCUGAAGUUGGGCGGAGAACAGCUCUGGAAAAUCCUCGCCGAACGGUUCAGUCACUAUCUGAACACGUGCAAGAUACCAUCGCAGUGGAAAGAGUCGAGAACCAUCCUGCUGUAUAAGAAGGGAGAUAGAGAAGAUCUGAAGAACUAUCGUCCCAUAUGCCUCUUGUCCCACAUCUACAAGCUGUUCACGAAGAU
rnacentral:lncRNA from 1 species